GGGCCCGCACAAGCGGUGGAGCAUGUGGUUUAAUUCGAUGAUACGCGAGGAACCUUACCAGGGCUUAAAUGUAGUAUGACCGGUCUGGAAACAGACCUUCCCUUCGGGGCAGAUUACAAGGUGCUGCAUGGUUGUCGUCAGCUCGUGCCGUGAGGUGUUAGGUUAAGUCCUGCAACGAGCGCAACCCCUUGUCUUAUGUUGCCAGCACGUAAUGGUGGGGACUCAUGAGAGACUGCCCGUAAAAAGCGGGAGGAAGGUGAGGACGACGUCAAGUCAUCAUGCCCCUUACGUCUUGGGCUACACACAUGCUACAAUGGCCGGUACAAUGGGUCGCCAAACCGCGAGGUGGAGCCAAUCCCUUAAAACCGGUCUCAGUUCGGAUUGUAGUCUGCAACUCGACUACAUG
rnacentral:rRNA from 1 species